UACGUAGGUGGCAAGCGUUAUCCGGAUUUAUUGGGUUUAAAGGGUGCGUAGGCGGUUCGAUAAGUCAGUGGUUAAAGGUAGCAGCUUAACUGUUUUACAUGCCACUGAUACUGCCGAACUUGAGUUGACAGAAGGCAGAUAGAAUUUCUGGUGUAGCGGUGAAAUGCUUAGAUACCAGAAGGAAUACCGAUUGCGAAGGCAGUCUGCUGCAGUCACACUGACGCUGAGGCACGAAAGUGCGGGGAUCAAACAGG
rnacentral:rRNA from 1 species